AGAAAUUUAAAAAGUUCGCAGCACGCCGAAAAUGGAAACAAUCUGUGCGCUUAAUAUCACUAUGCCAAAGAUUAUCAAGAUCCUUUUUAUCCAGAAGUAACAUGAGCGUGGCUAGGAGCGAUGACACUCUGGAUGAGGAAGAUUCAUUUGUAAGAAAGCCAUCAUACAUGCCAUCAAUGAUG